rnacentral:lncRNA from 10 species
CUGGCCAGGCGGGAGGGGCGGGGACGCAGCCGGAAGGCUGGAGGUUCCUGGAAGGCCUCUCCAAAUCCUUCCAACCCGAACAAUGGAAGGGAAGAAGGAAAGGAGGGGCUGAGGAAGGAAACAGACACUGACCAAAGCCCAGAGGUUGGAAACCAUGGCUCUUAAAAGCAGAGAUGAAGAGAAAAGAGUGAGUUCAAAAGACAGAGCAUGAGAAAGACCCCACCCGCUAUUACUGGCUUUGAAGAUGGAGAGAAGAGGCCACAAGCCAAGGAAUGCAGCAGCUUCCAGAAGCAUGAAAGAGCCCUUAGGUUACAGCCAGCAAGGGAAGGAAACUGCGACCCUACAGCCACAAGACUUGACUUCUGCCAACAGCCAGAAGGAGCAGGAAAUACGUUCUCCCUGAGAGCCUCCAGAAAGGAACACAGUCUGCCCACACCUUAAUUUUAGCCUGGGGAGGCCCAUACCAGGUCUCUGCUUUACAGAAUUGUAAGAUAAUAAAUUUGGAGUUUUUUUAAACUACUAAAUUUGUGGUCAUUUGUAAAGGCAGUAACAGAAAAACUAAAACACUUUACUAUCUAUACGUAGAUUUAACUGCUUUUUUUUUUUUUCUUUUUAAGAGAUGGUCUCACUCUGUUGCCCAAGUUGGAGUACAGAGGUGCAAUCAUAUCUCACUGCAGCCUUGAACUCCUGGGCUCAAGCCAUCCUCCCACCUCAGGCUCCUGGAUAACUGGGACUACAGGCACACCACCAUGCCUGGCUAAUUUUUUUUUUCUUUUUUUUUUUUAGAGAUGAGGUCUUGCUAUGUUGCCCAGCUGGUCUCAAAUUCCUAGCUUCAAAUGAUCCUCCCACCUUGGCCUCCCAAAGCUCUGGGAAUGAAGGCAUGAGCCACCAUGCCCAGUCUAGAUUUAACUUUUAAAUACAGUUCUAUUUUUAUAGGGGGGGAAAAUCCCAAAAUAGAAUAACAAGCAGGUUUUCUUUUACUCAGUUAACUAUUCCUAAGAGAAACCUUGAUAUUCUGGAUAUUUGAACCCUGAGACUAAUCCAGGCACCCUUUUCUCCUGGUAGCAGCUUGUGCAAUGAGGU